UACGGAAGGGGCAAGCGUUGUUCGGAAUCAUUGGGCGUAAAGGGCGCGCAGGUGGCUCUGUAUGUCUACCGUGAAAGCGUACGGCUCAACCGUAUUUUGUCGGUAGAAACUGCAGGACUUGAGGCUGGGAGGGGCUGGUGGAAUUCCCUGUGUAGCGGUGAAAUGCGCAGAUAUCAGGAGGAACACCGAUGGCGAAGGCAGGUCUCUGGGCCAUAACUGACACUGAAAAGCGAAAGCCAGGGGAGCAAACGGG
rnacentral:rRNA from 1 species